rnacentral:rRNA from 1 species
ACUCCUACGGGAGGCAGCAGUGGGGAAUCUUGCGCAAUGGGCGAAAGCCUGAUGCAGCGACGCCGCGUGAGGGAUGACGGCCUUCGGGUUGUAAACCUCUUUCAGCAGGGAAGAAGCGAAAGUGACGGUACCUGCAGAAGAAGCGCCGGCUAACUACGUGCCAGCAGCCGCGGUAAU